GGCCUUGACAUCCAGAGAACUUAGCAGAGAUGCUUUGGUACCUUCGGGAACUCUGAGACAGGUGCUGCAUGGCUGUCGUCAGCUCGUGUUGUGAAAUGGUUGGGUUAACGUCCGCAACGAGCGCAACCCUUAUCCUUUGUUGCCAGCGGUUCGGCCGGGAACUCAAAGGAGACUGCCGGUGAUAAACCGGAGGAAGGUGGGGAUGACGUCAAGUCAUCAUGGCCCUUACGGCCAGGGCUACACACGUGCUACAAUGGCGCAUACAAAGAGAAGCGACCUCGCGAGAGCAAGCGGACCUCAUAAAGUGCGUCGUAGUCCGGAUUGGAGUCUGCAACUCGACUCCAUGAAGUCGGAAUCGCUAGUAAUCGUAGAUCAGAAUGCUACGGUGAAUACGUUCCCGGGCCUUGUACACACCGCCCGUCACACCAUGGGAGUGGGUUGCAAAAGAAGUAGGUAGCUUAACCUUCGGGAGGGCGCUUACCACUUUGUGAUUCAUGACUGGGGUGAAGUCGUAACAAGGUAGGCGUACGUGU
rnacentral:rRNA from 1 species